AUGUGAUCGUCUCUCGCAUAUCAAUAAGCGGAGGAAAAGAAACUAACAAGGAUUCCCCUAGUAACGGCGAGUGAAGCGGGAAGAGCUCAAAUUUGAAAUCUUAAAGGGUUUCCCUUUACGAAUUGUAGUUUAAAGAAGUGUUUUCUGUUGAGGUUUUGGUAAAAGUUCUUUGGAAUAGGACAUCAUAGAGGGUGAGAAUCCCGUAUUUGACCUUUACUUUCAACUUUGUGAUACACUUUCAAAGAGUCGGAUUGUUUGGGAAUGCAGUCCAAAAUGGGUGGUAAAUUUCAUCUAAAGCUAAAUAUUGGCGAGAGACCGAUAGCGAACAAGUACCGUGAGGGAAAGAUGAAAAGAACUUUGAAAAGAGAGUUAAACAGUACGUGAAAGUUGUCAAAAGGGAAGCGUUUGACACCAGUGUUGUUUUUCUGAAAAUCAAUUAAAGAACUGUUUAUGCUAAGCUGUUUAGACUUUAUCAGCUAUCUGUUUAGUUUUGAGCUUUUCUUUAAUGCACUUUUCAGUUAACAAGUCAACAUCAAUUUCUUUUGCUGUAAAAAAGCUUGAGGAAGGUGGCUUGAGACUCGUCUUAAGUGUUUAUAGCCUCUUGCCUAUGCAGUCGGAGAGAUUGAGGUCUGCAGCGUAGAUCCUUCGGGGCUAAAUGCAUUUGUGCUAAGUUAUAGCAUUUUAUAGACAACUUGUUGACUAUGAUUUGUCUUGUAGCUUACUCGCUUAUGUUAUUUUACCUACGCUUAGGAUGUUGAUCUACAGAGCGAGAGU
rnacentral:rRNA from 1 species